GACGAACGCUGGCGGCGCGCUUAACACAUGCAAGUCGAACGGAAAGGCCUGCUUUCCCUUGUGGAUUGCGGGUACUCGAGUGGCGAACGGGUGAGUAACACGUGAGUUAUCUGCCCCCAACUUGGGUAUAAGCCUGGGAAACUGGAUCUAAUUCCCGAUAGGACUGCAGGGUGGUGCCUGUGGUGGAAAACGAUUUGCUAGUGGGUGGGGAUGAGCUCGCGGCCUAUCAGCUUGGUGGUGGGGUAAUGGCCUACCAAGGCGGCGACGGGUAGCCGGCCUGAGAGGGUGGACGGUGAAACUGGGACUGGGACAAGGCUCAGACUCGUACGGGCAGUAGCAGUUGGGGAUAUUGGGCAAUGGGCGGAAGCCUGAUGCAGCGAGGGCGUGAGGGAGAUGACGGGCUUCGGGUUGUCAACUCCUUUCGAAGGAGAGGAAGCCACCUGGUUGGAAGGGUGGUGACGGUAGUGGUAGAAGAAGCACCGGCUAACUACGUG
rnacentral:rRNA from 1 species